UGCGGCUACUCAGAUGACACGCUAGUAAUGAUUGUGUCUUCUAUUUAGGGCUUGAGUAUAGCUGUGACUAACCACUUGUAAAGACAUUUAAAGGUUAUGCUGACUGUAUGUGGACUGUUUUGUUCCAAGAAGCAGCAGCUCAUCUCAAAAUAGAUGAAGUCAAAGAGAGGGAAUUGUAAGAGUGCACUGGCAUGUCUCUCAGAAGCCAGUGGCAAGACCGAAGCUUGGUCUCAGGAACAACUGAAUCAGGAAUUUGAAAACUGUCAAGAUCCUGUUUCUCUCCUCUACACAUUGGCU
rnacentral:lncRNA from 1 species